rnacentral:rRNA from 1 species
UACGUAGGGGGCUAGCGUUGUCCGGAAUCACUGGGCUUAAAGCGUGUGUAGGCGGAUCGUUAAGUGCCUUGUGAAAUCCCACGGCUUAACUGUGGAACGGCUGGGCAUACUGGCGGUCUUGAGCCAUCUAGGGGCGACUGGAACAAACGGUGGAGCGGUGAAAUGCGUAGAUAUCGUUUGGAACGCCAAUGGUGAAAACAGGUCGCUGGGGAUGCGCUGACGCUGAGACACGAAAGCCAGGGGAGCAAACGGG